ACCAAGGAUAAGACCUGCCUACGAUAUUUGUGUUAAGUGUUUUGUUUAUUAUGUAUAUUUGACAGAUGGUUACCAGAACUUUACUUUAGUGUUGUCUUAUGUGGUUCUCCAGACCUAAAAUGAAAUGUCUGCAAAAGAAGACGCCAUUAUCCACUCAGGAAGAGCUUCACACAGGCCUGUGACCACAUCACCAGACCAGGUCGUAUGUUGUGUGUUGGACCACCUACGCGCCCCCCUUGUAGGCACGUCGCGACCCCCCGGGGGGGGGGGGGGUGUGCGCCCCACAGGUUGAGAACCACUGGGCUAAGCGUUGGUCUUGGCAGACAAACAACAAUCCACCUAUACACGUCCAUGGUUGGAGAUUCUCCUGUUGUCGAAAGGCAGUGGCCGUGUCGGCAAAGUCGUCGCACCGCGAGGGUCACGGACAAGUGACCUCCGUGAGUUGAUGACACGCAAGCUGUUGCGGUGGAGGAUCAAAAGGCUAGCAGGUGGCGAAGUCUGGACGGUAAUUUUUUCUGACAUAGACUCACACUGCACUUGCUAUACUUGGCACUAUUUAUGCAUGCAUAUGUCGUGCACUCUGUGCCUCAGCGGAUUACAAAAUAGUCUAAGAAUAACUAAGUAAUUUCUCGUACAAAUAACUCAAGGGGUUAACAUGAACAGAAAGACAUGAAGUCACCGGCUGGUCAGUGUCAUAAUUUAAUAAUUUUUCAUAAGGAUGUAAUAAAAAGAAAAAAAGUAGGAUCGAUGGCGCAUCAUAUAAUGGAAACAAAAUUUAUAUUAUUGGCGCAGUACAUGAAUGCAUGAGCAGUUAUCUAUCAUGGGGUUUAUAUCAUGGCGCCUAAUGUUGCGACAAAGACCCAGCUAAUGUCUGAGUCACAGCUAAUGUGGGUCUUUGUCGCUCACGACUGCAGCUAACUGCAAAUGCUGCUCCCUUUGCUCGCCAUCAUUAAGCCGUUGGCGGGCUGGUUUCCGCUUCCGGACGAUGC